GGAAGUAAAAGUCGUAACAAGGUCUCCGUAGGUGAACCUGCGGAGGGAUCAUUACACAAAUAUGAAGGCGGGCUGGAACCUCUCGGGGUUACAGCCUUGCUGAAUUAUUCACCCUUGUCUUUUGCGUACUUCUUGUUUCCUUGGUGGGUUCGCCCACCACUAGGACAAACAUAAACCUUUUGUAAUUGCAAUCAGCGUCAGUAACAAAUUAAUAAUUACAACUUUCAACAACGGAUCUCUUGGUUCUGGCAUCGAUGAAGAAUGCAGCGAAAUGCGAUAAGUAGUGUGAAUUGCAGAAUUCAGUGAAUCAUCGAAUCUUUGAACGCACAUUGCGCCCUUUGGUAUUCCAAAGGGCAUGCCUGUUCGAGCGUCAUUUGUACCCUCAAGCUUUGCUUGGUGUUGGGCGUCUUGUCUCUAGCUUUGCUGGAGACUCGCCUUAAAGUAAUUGGCAGCCGGCCUACUGGUUUCGGAGCGCAGCACAAGUCGCACUCUCUAUCAGCAAAGGUCUAGCAUCCAUUAAGCCUUUUUUUCAACUUUUGACCUCGGAUCAGGUAGGGAUACCCGCUGAACUUAAGCAUAUCAAUAAGCGGAGGA
rnacentral:rRNA from 1 species